GGCCAGGCUGUGAGGCUGAUGACACUAGAUGGUAGAAGAAGGGUAAUGCUCAACCGGGAGACCACUGCAUUUUUGGUUGUGUUCAGCCAGCUGGAAAACAAAUCUACACUUUACUGCAUUAGACAACCUUUGUGGAAAAGACAGAAACAUUUCUGGUAUGAGACUUUCCUCACCAAAGAAAACCCAGCAAGGAAUUCUGCAACCAAGCAAGAAUCCCAAUCAACUUUCCAUUCUUCAAAACCAGUGCCCUUUAUUCUUCAACUGCUUUCAUCCAAAAUCUCCUAUGAACUCCAGCAAUGAGACUGCAAGUUCAACUGGACACAAUGCCAUUCAUGUGCAACCACUGAACUCCAGCCUUUCUAGCGCUUAAUGCAGCAAUUACAAAAGCCUCAUGAACACACUGGUGUUACAAGACAGGACAAGGACUUCAAAAGGGGGAAACAUUUGGAAAGAUUUCAAUAUCUCUUCUGUACAUUUACAGAAUGACCUUAAAGUGUGUUUUGUUUCCUGCAUUUAUUUUAUUCUUCACUGUUAAUGAAAAUUACACAUACUUAAGUUGUUCUUUAAGUGAAAAAAGAACAGAUGUAAAAAUAAUUUAUGUGACCUUGGCAUAGCAAUCUCUGAGUUUUCUUGAAAACUUUACUUUCAUAAGAAAGGCCUAAUAAUUUUU
rnacentral:lncRNA from 1 species